AGAUUAAGUUAUUAAGGGCGCACGGUGGAUGCCUUGGCACUAGAAGCCGAAGAAGGACGUUACUAACGACGAUAUGCUUUGGGGAGCUGUAAGUAAGCGUUGAUCCAGAGAUUUCCGAAUGGGGAAACCCAACAUGAGUUAUGUCAUGUUAUCGAUAUGUGAAUACAUAGCAUAUCAGAAGGCAGACCCGGAGAACUGAAACAUCUUAGUACCCGGAGGAAGAGAAAGAAAAAUCGAUUCCCUGAGUAGCGGCGAGCGAAACGGGAAGAGCCCAAACCAACAAGCUUGCUUGUUGGGGUUGUAGGACACUCUAUACGGAGUUACAAAAGUAUAUAUUAGACGAAUCAUCUGGAAAGUUGAAUCAAAGAAGGUAAUAAUCCUGUAGUCGAAAAUAUAUACUCUCUUGAGUGGAUCCUGAGUACGACGGAGCACGUGAAAUUCCGUCGGAAUCUGGGAGGACCAUCUCCUAAGGCUAAAUACUCUCUAGUGACCGAUAGUGAACCAGUACCGUGAGGGAAAGGUGAAAAGUACCCCGGAAGGGGAGUGAAAGAGAACUUGAAACCGUGUGCUUACAAGUAGUCAGAGCCCGUUAAUGGGUGAUGGCGUGCCUUUUGUAGAAUGAACCGGCGAGUUACGAUUUGAUGCAAGGUUAAGCAGUGAAUGUGGAGCCGUAGCGAAAGCGAGUCUGAAUAGGGCGUUGAGUAUUUGGUCGUAGACCCGAAACCAGGUGAUCUACUCUUGGUCAGGUUGAAGUUCAGGUAACACUGAAUGGAGGACCGAACCGACUUACGUUGAAAAGUGAGCGGAUGAACUGAGGGUAGCGGAGAAAUUCCAAUCGAACCUGGAGAUAGCUGGUUCUCUCCGAAAUAGCUUUAGGGCUAGCCUCAAGUGAUGAUUAUUGGAGGUAGAGCACUGUUUGGACGAGGGGCCCUUCUCGGGUUACCGAAUUCAGACAAACUCCGAAUGCCAAUCAAUUUAACUUGGGAGUCAGAACAUGGGUGAUAAGGUCCGUGUUCGAAAGGGAAACAGCCCAGACCACCAGCUAAGGUCCCAAAAUAUAUGUUAAGUGGAAAAGGAUGUGGCGUUGCCCAGACAACUAGGAUGUUGGCUUAGAAGCAGCCAUCAUUUAAAGAGUGCGUAAUAGCUCACUAGUCGAGUGACACUGCGCCGAAAAUGUACCGGGGCUAAACAUAUUACCGAAGCUGUGGAUUGUCCGUAGGAUAAUGGUAGGAGAGCGUUCUAAGGGCGUUGAAGCAUGAUCGCAAGGACAUGUGGAGCGCUUAGAAGUGAGAAUGCCGGUGUGAGUAGCGAAAGACGGGUGAGAAUCCCGUCCACCGAUUGACUAAGGUUUCCAGAGGAAGGCUCGUCCGCUCUGGGUUAGUCGGGUCCUAAGCUGAGGCCGACAGGCGUAGGCGAUGGAUAACAGGUUGAUAUUCCUGUACCACCUAGUAUCGUUUUAAUCGAUGGGGGGACGCAGUAGGAUAGGCGAAGCGUGCUAUUGGAUUGCACGUCCAAGCAGUAAGACUGAGUGUUAGGCAAAUCCGGCACUCGUAAGGUCAAGCUGUGAUGGGGAGAGGAAAUUGUUUCCUCGAGUCGUUGAUUUCACACUGCCAAGAAAAGCCUCUAGAUAGAUAACAGGUGCCCGUACCGCAAACCGACACAGGUAGUCAAGAUGAGAAUUCUAAGGUGAGCGAGCGAACUCUCGUUAAGGAACUCGGCAAAAUGACCCCGUAACUUCGGGAGAAGGGGUGCUCUUUAGGGUUAACGCCCAGAAGAGCCGCAGUGAAUAGGCCCAAGCGACUGUUUAUCAAAAACACAGGUCUCUGCUAAACCGUAAGGUGAUGUAUAGGGGCUGACGCCUGCCCGGUGCUGGAAGGUUAAGAGGAGUAGUUAGCUUCUGCGAAGCUACGAAUCGAAGCCCCAGUAAACGGCGGCCGUAACUAUAACGGUCCUAAGGUAGCGAAAUUCCUUGUCGGGUAAGUUCCGACCCGCACGAAAGGCGUAACGAUUUGGGCACUGUCUCAACGAGAGACUCGGUGAAAUCAUAGUACCUGUGAAGAUGCAGGUUACCCGCGACAGGACGGAAAGACCCCGUGGAGCUUUACUGUAGCCUGAUAUUGAAAUUCGGCACAGCUUGUACAGGAUAGGUAGGAGCCUUUGAAACGUGAGCGCUAGCUUACGUGGAGGCAUUGGUGGGAUACUACCCUAGCUGUGUUGGCUUUCUAACCCGCACCACUUAUCGUGGUGGGAGACAGUGUCAGGUGGGCAGUUUGACUGGGGCGGUCGCCUCCUAAAAGGUAACGGAGGCGCUCAAAGGUUCCCUCAGAAUGGUUGGAAAUCAUUCAUAGAGUGUAAAGGCAUAAGGGAGCUUGACUGCGAGACUUACAAGUCGAGCAGGGUCGAAAGACGGACUUAGUGAUCCGGUGGUUCCGCAUGGAAGGGCCAUCGCUCAACGGAUAAAAGCUACCCCGGGGAUAACAGGCUUAUCUCCCCCAAGAGUUCACAUCGACGGGGAGGUUUGGCACCUCGAUGUCGGCUCAUCGCAUCCUGGGGCUGUAGUCGGUCCCAAGGGUUGGGCUGUUCGCCCAUUAAAGCGGUACGCGAGCUGGGUUCAGAACGUCGUGAGACAGUUCGGUCCCUAUCCGUCGUGGGCGUAGGAAAUUUGAGAGGAGCUGUCCUUAGUACGAGAGGACCGGGAUGGACAUACCUCUGGUGUACCAGUUGUCGUGCCAACGGCAUAGCUGGGUAGCUAUGUAUGGACGGGAUAAGUGCUGAAAGCAUCUAAGCAUGAAGCCCCCCUCAAGAUGAGAUUUCCCAACUUCGGUUAUAAGAUCCCUCAAAGAUGAUGAGGUUAAUAGGUUCGAGGUGGAAGCGUGGUGACACGUGGAGCUGACGAAUACUAAUCGAUCGAAGACUUAAUCAAUUU
rnacentral:rRNA from 1 species